UACGGAGGGGGCUAGCGUUGUUCGGAAUUACUGGGCGUAAAGCGCACGUAGGCGGCUUUGUAAGUUAGAGGUGAAAGCCCGGGGCUCAACUCCGGAAAUUGCCUUUAAGACUGCAUCGCUAGAAUUGUGGAGAGGUAAGUGGAAUUCCGAGUGUAGAGGUGAAAUUCGUAGAUAUUCGGAAGAACACCAGUGGCGAAGGCGACUUACUGGACACAUAUUGACGCUGAGGUGCGAAAAGCGUGGGGAGCAAACAGG
rnacentral:rRNA from 1 species